CUAACAUCACAAUUAAAAGAACUAGAAAAGCAAGAGCAAACACAUUCAAAAGCUAGCAGAAGGCAAGAAAUAACUAAAAUCAGAGCAGAACUGAAGGAAAUAGAGACACAAAAAACCCUUCAAAAAAUUAAUGAAUCCAGGAGCUGGUUUUUUGAAAGGAUCAACAAAAUUGAUAGACCGCUAGCAAGACUAAUAAAGAAAAAAAGAGAGAUGAAUCAAACAGAUGCAAUAAAAAAUGAUAAAGGGGAUAUCACCACCGAUCCCACAGAAAUACAAACUACCAUCAGAGAAUACUACAAACACCUCUACGCAAAUAAACUAGAAAAUCUAGAAGAAAUGGAUAAAUUCCUGGACACAUACACUCUCCCAAGACGAAACCAGGAAGAAGUUGAAUCUCUGAAUAGACCAAUAACAGGAGCUGAAAUUGUGGCAAUAAUCAAUAGCUUACCAACCAAAAAGAGUCCAGGACCAGACGGAUUCACAGCUGAAUUCUACAAGAAGUACAAGGAGGAACUGGUACCAUUCCUUCUGAAACUAUUCCAAUCAAUAGAAAAAGAGGGAAUCCUCCCUAACUCAUUUUAUGAGGCCAGCAUCAUUCUGAUACAAAGCCUGGCAGAGACACAACCAAAAAAGAGAAUUUUAGACCAAUAUCCUUGAUGAACAUUGAUGCAAAAAUCCUCAAUAAAAUACUGGCAAAACGAAUCCAGCAGCACAUCCAAAAGCUUAUCCACCAUGAUCAAGUGGGCUUCAUCCCUGGGAUGCAAGGCUGGUUCAAUAUAUGCAAAUCAAGAAAGGUAAUCCAGCAUAUAAACAGAGCCAAAGACAAAAACCACAUGAUUAUCUCAAUAGAUGCAGAAAAAGCCUUUGACAAAAUUCAACCACGCUUCAUGCUAAAAACUCUCAAUAAAUUAGGUAUUGAUGGGACGUAUUUCAAAAUAAUAAGAGCUAUCUAUGACAAACCCACAGCCUAUAUCAUACUGAAUGGGCAAAAACUGGAAGCGUUCCCUUUGAAAACAGGCACAAGACAGGGAUGCCCUCUCUCACCACUCCUGUUCAACAUAGUGUUGGAAGUUCUGGCCAGGGCAAUUAGGCAGGAGAAGGAAAUAAAGGGUAUUCAAUUAGGAAAAGAGGAAGUCAAAUUGUCCCUGUUUGCAGACGACAUGAUUGUAUAUCUAGAAAACCCCAUUGUCUCAGCCCAAAAUCUCCUUAAGCUGAUAAGCAACUUCAGCAAAGUCUCAGGAUACAAAAUCAAUGUCCAAAAAUCACAAGCAUUCUUAUACACUAACAACAGACAAACAGAGAGCCAAAUCAUGAGUGAACUCCCAUUCACUAUUGCUUCAAAGAGAAUAAAAUACCUAGGAAUCCAACUUACAAGGGAUGUGAAGGACCUCUUCAAGGAGAACUACAAACCACUGCUCAAGGAAAUAA
rnacentral:lncRNA from 1 species